rnacentral:rRNA from 1 species
UACGUAGGGUGCAAGCGUUAAUCGGAAUUACUGGGCGUAAAGCGUGCGCAGGCGGUUUUGUAAGUCAGAUGUGAAAUCCCCGGGCUUAACCUGGGAACUGCGUUUGAAACUACAAGGCUAGAGUGUGGCAGAGGGGGGUGGAAUUCCACGUGUAGCAGUGAAAUGCGUAGAUAUCUGGAGGAACACCGGUGGCGAAGGCGGCAUCCUGGACCGGUAUUGACGCUGAGGCGCGAAAGCUAGGGGAGCAAACGGG